CUGUGGAAGGAUCAUUAUUGAAAAGGUUUUGGGGAAUUACUGUUGCUGGCCUUUUCUAAUAGGAAGGGUAUGUGCACGUAUUCUCUAAUCUAUUCAUCCACCUGUGCACUUUUUGUAGAAGUACUUGUUGAGUUGACUGGUAAAAGGUCUUUGACUCUCUACUGUCAAUUUGAAGGGCUUCUAUGUUCUUACAAACAAGUUAAGCAUGUUAUAGAAUGUUAUUUUACUGGGACUUCAUUGACCCUUUAAAACUUUAUACAACUUUCAGCAACGGAUCUCUUGGCUCUCCCAUCGAUGAAGAACGCAGCGAAAUGCGAUAAGUAAUGUGAAUUGCAGAAUUCAGUGAAUCAUCGAAUCUUUGAACGCACCUUGCGCCCUCUGGUAUUCCGGAGGGCAUGCCUGUUUGAGUGUCAUUAUAUUCUCAACUUCAAUAAUUUAUUGUUGAAGCUUGGAUGUGGAGGCUUUUGCUGGCAUCUCAGAUGUCCGGCUCCUCUUAAAUGCAUUAGUGGAACCCGUUCAGUUGGGCUAUCCUUGGUUGUGAUAAUUAUCUACGCUUUGGAUUAGUCUCUAACAAACUCUUAGUGGUCAAUGUACUUUUGUACGUUGGUUUGGGGUAUUGCAUUCAUUUGCUUCGCCGGUUCACUAUAGAGUGAAAGGGAAAGUGACCGCUUUCGAACUGUCUGUGUAUUGCGGACGAUUUUAUUACUAUUUGACCUCAAUCGGUAGGACUACCCGCUGAACUU
rnacentral:rRNA from 1 species